rnacentral:misc_RNA from 1 species
GUGAAACAGCUAGAAAUUGAUCUUAAAAAAUUGGAGUAAUGACCUAGUCAAGAGUCAUAAUCCUCGAAUCUUCUGGUUUCUGGUUAAUAGAAAGAGAGCAGAAGAAGUGGGUUAUUGUGCAAGUUUGCAGAGAAAAGCUGGCCAGAGUGGAAAUGGAGCUGCCAAAAGAGUAUGGAUAUGUGGCUCUGGUUCUUGUAGCGUAUUGCUUCCUCAAUUUCUGGAUGGCUGGUCAGGUAGGCAAGGCCCGCAAGAUGUACAAGGUUCCUUAUCCUACCCUUUAUGCUUUAGAAUCUGAAAACAAAGAUGCUAAGCUCUUCAACUGUGUCCAGAGAGGGCACCAGAACUCGCUAGAGAUGAUGCCUAUGUUCUUUGUGUUGAUGAUGUUAGGAGGGUUUAGGCAUCCCUGUGUCUGCGCUUCUCUUGGAUGCCUCUAUAUCAUCACUCGUUAUUUCUAUUUCACUGGCUAUUCCACCGGAGAUCCUCAGAAACGUCUCAGUAUUGGGUUAGUUAAUUAGUUUUUCUAUUUACCAAUUAAUUGCUUUGCUUCAGUUGUCCCAGUCAGUCCUUGAUUUGCUGCCUUCUUCUCUUAAGAAUUGAAACUUAUGAAUAUAUUAUAGAAAUUGCAUAUGCUGAAACAUGUUUCUAUUGUUUUGGUCCUGGAAAUUUGAUGUGAAGUUUUGUUGGCUGUCAAAAGAAAACUAUUCAAGAAAAUUUACACUAUGUUUGGAUCAUAGAUUGGGAUGGUUUCAUAUAAUAAAUUGUUCCUAAAAAAUGGUGGUUUGGGUUUGUAAAAUAAUGGUUUCCUAAUCAUAAUUUAGUACAGGCUUUCAAACCACCAAAUUGGUGGUAUAGCUAUGCAAGCCACCAAAUUGGUAAUUUGGCAUGGUUUAAAAAAUUUUGUUUUCUCCUUAUAUCCCUAUACAAUAUAUAAAAUUCUAAUUACAUAGUUUCAAUGUUAUAUAUUUAUAAGGCAUAUUUUGUGAUUAAUUAAAAAAACUAAAAUGUACUUUUAAUUAUUAUUAUAAUAACAUUAUUUAUAAAUUAAU